rnacentral:rRNA from 1 species
AGAGUUUGAUCCUGGCUCAGGAUGAACGCUGGCGGUGUGCUUAAGGCAUGCAAGUCGAACGCUUCCUUCGGGAAGAGUGGCAGACGGGUGAGUAACACGUAGGAAUCUACCCUAAAGCGGGGGAUAACCAUCCGAAAGGAUGGCUAAUACCGCAUGUGAUCUUCGGAUUAAAGUCUUCGGACACUUUAGGAGGAGCCUGCGCACUAUCAGCUAGUUGGUGAGGUAAAUGCUCACCAAGGCUAUGACGGUUAGCCGGUGUGAGAGCACGACCGGCCACAAGGUUACUGAGACACGGAGCCUACACCUACGGGUGGCAGCAACCGGGAAUCUUGCGCAAUGGACGAAAGUCUGACGCAGCGACACCGCGUGUGGGAAGACGCUUUUCGGAGUGUAAACCACUGUGGCGAGGGACGAACUCCUACUUUUGUAGGUUUGACGGUACCUCGCUAGAAAGCACCUGCUAACUACGUGCCAGAAGCCUCGGUAAUACGUAGGGUGCAAGCGUUAUCCGGAAUUACUGGGCGUAAAGGGUCCGUCGGCGGGCCAUAAAGUUUGUUGUUAAAGCCUAGGGCUCAACUCUAGACGCGCAACGAAAACUAAUGGCCUUGAGUCAAUCAGGG